rnacentral:rRNA from 1 species
UACGUAGGGUGCGAGCGUUAAUCGGAAUUACUGGGCGUAAAGCGUGCGCAGGCGGUUUUGUAAGCCGGAUGUGAAAUCCCCGGGCUUAACCUGGGAAUGGCAUUCGGGACUGCAAGGCUGGAGUGCGGCAGAGGAGACUGGAAUUCCUGGUGUAGCAGUGAAAUGCGUAGAUAUCAGGAAGAACACCAAUGGCGAAAGCAGCUUUCUGGGACGGUACUGACGCUGAGACGCGAAAGCGUGGGGAGCGAACAGG